rnacentral:rRNA from 1 species
GACGAACGCUGGCGGCGUGCUUAACACAUGCAAGUCGAACGAUGAAGAAAAGAAUCGAAGCUUCGGCAGAAAUUCAUUUCGGAUUAGUGGCAGACGGGUGAGUAACGCGUGAGCAACCUACCUCUUACAAAGGGAUAGCCUCGGGAAACCGGGAUUAAUACCAUAUAACAUUGCGACGAAGCAUUUCGAUGCAAUCAAAGCUACGGCGGUAAGAGAUGGGCUCGCGUCCCAUUAACCGGAUGGUGAGGUAACGGCUCACCAUAGUGACGAUGGGUAGCCGGCCUGAGAGGGUGAACGGUCACACUGGAACUGAGACACGGUCCAGACUCCUACGGGAGGCAGCAGUGGGGAAUAUUGCACAAUGGAGGGAACUCUGAUGCAGCGACGCCGCGUGAGUGAUGAAGGAAUUCGUUUCGUAAAACUCUGUUCUAUGGGAAGAAAAGGACUGUACCAUAGGAGAAAGCUCCGGCUAAAUACGUG